rnacentral:rRNA from 1 species
AUGAUGCAGGUUGUCCUUGAAGACGCGGAGGGUGCGGAGGAGCAUGCUCCCAAUUUCAAGGGCUUGAUCAAGGGUCAUAGGGUGCUCAGCUGCAACAGGACGCGCAAGCAUUUGACAUUGAUGGCCGACUACUUUGCCCACGAUGCACUAUUUGACCAUUUUCGCCGGCAUUUUCGAAUGCGCAAGACUGUCUUCAAUCGUUUGUACCAUGGUGCCCGGUCCUACGAUGACUACUUCAUCCUGAAGAAGGCUUCUCUGGUUACCAGAAUUGCACGGCCGCACUCCGGAUGGUUGCAUAUGGCAUGGUUGCUGAUUCGUGGGAUGAGUACCCACGGAUGUCUGAGAGCACAUGCGGAGAUGCCAUUGUCAGGUUUGCAACUGCCGUGGUCGAGGUGUUCAGACCUCAGUACCUGA